GCGUUAAUGAUGUCAUUAGAAAGCAGACAGGUCAGAACAACGCAACGCAUGGGUUUUCGCAGUAACACGGCUACUGUUAUACAAUUGGUCCUAGAAAGCACUGUCGUUUUACACCUACUCCAACCGGCUUCAUUAAAGACUCAACGCAAGCGCUCCAGUCUGUGUGAUUCCUUUGGAGAGGAGUUUAGCUGAGUGUCGACUCCGGCAAGGCGUUGGAGGUUGAGGACAUGACGGUCAACACGGUGAAUCCAAACCAAGACAACUCAGAAUCUUCAUGAUGGAGACGACUGGGAUGCAACCUGCGCUGAUAAAUUUAUUUUCUACAGACAGAAAACUAAUGCAUAAUGAAUUGCAACACAAACAUCAUGUGAAAAUGACAAGACAACCAUCAUCAUCAUCAAAGUUGUGUUGAAGAAUUACCUUCUCGUCUCUGUGUGAUUGACUGUGAUGCCGCAGCAAAGCUGAAAAAUCACGGCGAUGGAUUUGCUGUUUUAAACUUCUACUAAAUCAACAAACUGUCCAAGAGGAAAAAAGGCCUUCUGUUUAAGACUGUUCCCUUCUUAAAGUGAAAGAAGCUCGAAAAUGUCAGAUUUGGAUGAUAUCAUUAGGCUUUACUUCAGACUCUCUUUAAAUAACAAAGAAAUCCUUCAAAUUUUAGCGCACAGUCAUCAUACUAUAUUAAGUAAUCGUACUCUAAAAAGAAUUUGCAGAAGACUUGGGCUGUUUCGAAGAAAGAAUUAGUCCGACCUUGAAGAAGUGCUAGCCUUUGUCCAACAACAAAUAAUGACUAAUGGACAAAUGCAAGGUUAUCAGUGGCUACA